rnacentral:lncRNA from 1 species
CUCAGCUGUGCUCGCCAUUUUUGGGUGCAUUUUUCCAACUCAAGCGUAAGCUGACAGAUGGCGGUGGAAUAAUAUUCUCACUUUCUCUACUUCCCACAGGCCUCCCUCCAACACAGUCCUCCAAGCUCUUAGAAAUCUCUGACGCAUCUCAACCAUGAGACCACGGCUGGCUUUUGGCAGGGUUGCGUGAGGUACAGAAGCAACUAGGAAUGGAAAGCAACUACACCUGGAAUGUCUGCCUCCCCGGAGCGUCUUGGCGUCUUCUCUUAGAGUACUUUCAGGCCCCUGGGGGAAGCUGGCAUUCCCACCGUCUCCUUCCACCUGCGACCACCCAUCUGGCCUCUGGGAGACCCCGGCCAUGCCUGCCCCAGCUGUUUGGCUCCAACUGUCCUGUGGUGAGAGCAUCAGCGUUACUGAAAACCUGUUGGGUGCUGGGGGUCCACGGAGGGGUGACCGCUGGAGUCCGUCGCAGUGAAUCUCUCUAGGUGAGUGCGG